GACGUAGGGCGCGAGCGUUGUCCGGAUUUAUUGGGCGUAAAGAGCUCGUAGGCGGCUCAUUGCGUCAACCGUGAAAACCUGCCGCUCAACGGUAGGCUUGCGGUUGAUACGGGUGGGCUGGAGUUCGGUAGGGGAGACUGGAAUUCCUGGUGUAGCGGUGAAAUGCGCAGAUAUCAGGAGGAACACCGGUGGCGAAGGCGGGUCUCUGGGCCGAUACUGACGCUGAGGAGCGAAAGCCAGGGGAGCAAACGGG
rnacentral:rRNA from 1 species